AGUGAACGCUGGCGGUAGGCCUAACACAUGCAAGUCGAACGGCAGCACAGUAAGAGCUUGCUCUUACGGGUGGCGAGUGGCGGACGGGUGAGGAAUACAUCGGAAUCUACUUUUUCGUGGGGGAUAACGUAGGGAAACUUACGCUAAUACCGCAUACGACCUACGGGUGAAAGCAGGGGAUCUUCGGACCUUGCGCGAUUGAAUGAGCCGAUGUCGGAUUAGCUAGUUGGCGGGGUAAAGGCCCACCAAGGCGACGAUCCGUAGCUGGUCUGAGAGGAUGAUCAGCCACACUGGAACUGAGGCACGGUCCAGACUCCUACGGGAGGCAGCAGUGGGGAAUAUUGGACAAUGGGCGCAAGCCUGAUCCAGCCAUACCGCGUGGGUGAAGAAGGCCUUCGGGUUGUAAGGCCCUUUUGUUGGGAAAGAAAAGCAGCAGGUUAAUACCCCGCUGUUCUGACGGUACCCAAAGAAUAAGCACCGGCUAACUUCGUG
rnacentral:rRNA from 1 species